rnacentral:hammerhead_ribozyme from 1 species
AUCCAGCUGACGAGUCUUAAAUAGGACGAAACUCACGUUCUGGAU